GAUGAACGCUAGCGGCAGGCUUAAUACAUGCAAGUCGAGGGGGCAGCAAUGUCACCGGCGGACGGGUGCGUAACGCGUAUGAAACCUACCUUUAUCAGGGGGAUAGCCCCGGGGAAACCCGGAUUAAUACCGCAUAAUAUAUUGAAUGGCAUCAUUUGAUAUUGAAAGAUUUAUUGGAUAGAGAUGGUCAUGCGUAGGAU
rnacentral:rRNA from 1 species